rnacentral:rRNA from 1 species
AGAGUUUGAUCCUGGCUCAGAACGAACGCUGGCGGCAGGCUUAACACAUGCAAGUCGAACGCCCCGCAAGGGGAGUGGCAGACGGGUGAGUAACGCGUGGGAACGUGCCCUUCGCUUCGGAAUAGCCCCGGGAAACUGGGAGUAAUACCGGAUACGCCGUAUUGGGAAAGAUUUAUCGGCGAAGGAUCGGCCCGCGUUAGAUUAGCUAGUUGGCGGUGUAAUGGACCACCAAGGCUACGAUCUAUAGCUGGUCUGAGAGGAUGAUCAGCCACACUGGGACUGAGACACGGCCCAGACUCCUACGGGAGGCAGCAGUGGGGAAUCUUGGACAAUGGGCGCAAGCCUGAUCCAGCCAUGCCGCGUGAGUGAAGAAGGCCUUAGGGUUGUAAAACUCUUUCGCCGGAGAAGAUAAUGACGGUAUCCGGAGAAGAAGCCCCGGCUAACUUCGUG